CCUAGAGGGACCUGGCACCCAGACCACUUCAUUAAGCUGAAGUGGUCUGGGUGCCUAGAGUGGUCCUUUAAAACAUGGCAAGAGCUGAUGAGAGACAGAGGAGGGGCAACAGCAAGUUCCAACUGGUCUGGCAGUGUGCCUGGGACAACGCCCUGCUGGAACAAUAGACAGGAAACGAGGGAGGGGAAGAGACACAUAUUCCCAUGGAUUCAAAUGGGCAGAAACAGUCUUUUAGAAGCCAGUAAGCCCCAAAUAGUCUUUUUAAAUGGCAAUACACCCCAGGGCCACAGUCACGAGGGAGGAGGCUGGCAAUCAGGCUCCUCCAACAGCCAAGGGCAAAGGGCAGUUGGUCAUUUAAAAAUCCAGUGACAAAAGGCAUUUUGUCACGCAUAGGUAACAAAAUUAUGAGGAGUGAGUUAGCUUGCCCCAUCAAAUACCUAGAGAAGCAUGACAACCAAUAUUUGAAAGAAAAAUCCUCAUUUAAUAAUUGUAACAAUUAAUAUAUAUUAUAGCUAUUUAACUAAGUGAAACAAGUCUGGACAGUGGUGGGACCAUGAAUAUUAGAUCAUAAUAAGUUAUGUUACAGUGUGAAAUCAGAACUUGGUACACAUUAAAAUAUAUGCAAUAAUUUUUGCGUAAAAGAUUUCUAAUAUAGGAACAGAGAGACCAUUACCAGUUCUGGGCUCUGUGUUGGUAGAUUGUCUUCUCUCCACGGUGAAAAAUUCUACUAAAACAACAAUACAAUAAAAUUUAUUGAUUGCGCUCGUUUUGAAACUUGCCAAAAAGUAGUGAUUAAGCAUUGUUAGAAUUAACACCUGAAAGAAUUUUGAUGUAUAGACAAAAAUAAGGUUUUCAUGGUCCAUCUUUCUUUAACAUCUUCCACUUACCAAUUCUUCUUUCUGUACAAGGUGUUCUUUCUUCUUUGAAGCUAAUCUGUAAAACAGGAGAAACAACAAUGCAAUAAUAAACCCAAUCCUCAACCUGUCCACAGAGGUCUCCCAAAACAACAAUCCACUAGCAAUCCAUGCUUGUUGACGCUAAAAAAGAUUACAUUUAAAAAAUGUAGGCAACACAGAACUCUUUAGUUAGCCAGAUCUCCCCUGAAGAAAUGUUCAGCCUGUGAACCAUAAAGGAAAAACAGGUUUCCCACAUAUUUACAGAAAUUUCUCUUUCCAAUCACAUCUCCUCCUGAAAAAGAGAAAAAACCCGCAACAACAAUACAAAUAUUAUCCCAUACUUUAACCCAAUAAAAUCCAUUACAUUUAAAGAAGAAAGCAACACAGACCUCUUUAGUUAGCCAGUUGUCCCCUGAAGAAAUCCUCAGCCUGUGAAUCAUAAAGCAAACGACAGGUCUCCCACAUCCCACAUAUUUCUAAACAUUUCUCUUUCCAAUCACAUUAGCCAAUUUCAUUCUUUAAUGGAUUCACUCACAAUUGGUAGGACUUCCUCCUAGACCAAAGGUUGUUUUCCAACUUCUUAAGAGACUCUGAAACUCAUCAAAAACAAUUCUCACCUGAAAACCGAUGAAGAUCCAAUAAUAGGUUGUCCAAUUCUUCGUACUGCAUAUGGCGACUCUUGAGAUAUCUGUCAACCAGCAAACUACAUAGACAGGCACACAAAGAGGCUCUUUCCCAUCAUCCCACAAAGACAUGUUGAAAUUAUGCAUUGUACUGACUUUAUCCCAAGAACAUCUUUACUUUUGGAAAAGUAGAAUAGAAAGGUUCUUACAUUUCAAUUUCUCUAUAGAAGAAGAUGCUCUUUUCUCUUCUUUGAAACUAUUGGUUAGAAAAAAAAAGAAAAACAACCCUCCCGCAACAACAAUACAAAUAUUAUCCAAUACUUUUACACAAUAAAAUCCAUUACAUUUAAAGAAGAAAGCAACACAGACCUCUAUAGCUAGCCAGUUGUCCCCUGAAGAAAUCCUCAGCCUGUGAAUCAUAAAGCAAACGACAGGUCUCCCACAUAUUUCUAAACAUUUCUCUUUCCAAUCACAUCAGCCAAUUUCAUUCUUUAAUGGAUUCACUCACAAUUGGUAGGACUUCCUCCUAGACCAAAGGUUGUUUUCCAACUUCUUGAAGUACUCUGAAACUCAUCAAAAACAAUUCUCACCUGAAAACCGAUGAAGAUCCAAUAAUAGGUUGUCCAAUUCUUCGUACUGCAUAUGGCGACUCUUGAGAUAUCUGUCAAGCAGCAAACUACAUAGACAGGCACACAAAGAGGCUCUUUCCCAUCAUCCCACAAGGACAUGUUGAAAUUAUGCAUUGUACUGACUUGAUCCCAAGAACAUCUUUACUUUUGGAAUAGUAGAAUAGAAAGGUUCUUACAUUUCAAUUUCUCUAUAGAAGAAGAUGCUCUUCUCUUCUUUGAAACUAUUGGUUAGAAAAAAAAAAGAGAAACAACCCUCCCGCAACAAUACAAAUAUUAUCCCAUACUUUUACACAAUAAAAUCCAUUACAUUUAAAGAAGAAAGCAACACAGACCUCUUUAGCUAGCCAGUUGUCCCCUGAAGAAAUCCUCAGCCUGUGAAUCAUAAAGCAAACGACAGGUCUCCCACAUCCCACAUAUUUCUAAACAUUUCUCUUUCCAAUCACAUCAGCCAAUUUCAUUCUUUAAUGGAUUCACUCACAAUUGGUAGGACUUCCUCCUAGACCAAAGGUUGUUUUCCAACUUCUUGAGAGACUCUGAAACUCAUCAAAAACAAUUCUCACCUGAAAACCGAUGAAGAUCCAAUAAUACGUUGUCCAAUUCUUCGUACUGCAUAUGGCGACUCUUGAGAUAUCUGUCAAGCAGCAAACUACAUAGACAGGCACACAAAGAGGCUCUUUCCCAUCAUCCCACAAGGACAUGUUGAAAUUAUGCAUUGUACUGACUUGAUCCCAAGAACAUCUUUACUUUUGGAAUAGUAGAAUAGAAAGGUUCUUACAUUUCAAUUUCUCUAUAGAAGAAGAUGCUCUUCUCUUCUUUGAAACUAUUGGUUAGAAAAAAAAAGAGAAACAACCCUCCCGCAACAACAAUACAAAUAUUAUCCCAUACUUUUACACAAUAACAUUUACAUUUAAAGAAGAAAGCAACACAGACCUCUUUAGCUAGCCAGUUGUCCCCUGAAGAAAUCCUCAGCCUGUGAAUCAUAAAGCAAACGACAGGUCUCCCACAUCCCACAUAUUUCUAAACAUUUCUCUUUCCAAUCACAUCAGCCAAUUUCAUUCUUUAAUGGAUUCACUCACAAUUGGUAGGACUUCCUCCUAGACCAAAGGUUGUUUUCCAACUUCUUGAAGUACUCUGAAACUCAUCAAAAACAAUUCUCACCUGAAAACCGAUGAAGAUCCAAUAAUACGUUGUCCAAUUCUUCGUACUGCAUAAGGCGACUCUUGAGAUAUCUGUCAAGCAGCAAACUACAUAGACAGGCACACAAAGAGGCUCUUUCCCAUCAUCCCACAAGGACAUGUUGAAAUUAUGCAUUGUACUGACUUUAUCCCAAGAACAUCUUUACUUUUGGAAUAGUAGAAUAGAAAGGUUCUUACAUUUCAAUUUCUCUAUAGAAGAAGAUGCUCUUCUCUCUUCUUUGAAACUAUUGGUUAGAAAAAAAAAAGAGAAACAACCCUCCCGCAACAAUACAAAUAUUAUCCCAUACUUUUACACAAUAAAAUCCAUUACAUUUAAAGAAGAAAGCAACACAGACCUCUUUAGCUAGCCAGUUGUCCCCUGAAGAAAUCCUCAGCCUGUGAAUCAUAAAGCAAACGACAGGUCUCCCACAUCCCACAUAUUUCUAAACAUUUCGCUUUCCAAUCACAUCAGCCAAUUUCAUUCUUUAAUGGAUUCACUCACAAUUGGUAGGACUUCCUCCUAGACCAAAGGUUGUUUUCCAACUUCUUGAGAGACUCUGAAACUCAUCAAAAACAAUUCUCACCUGAAAACCGAUGAAGAUCCAAUAAUACGUUGUCCAAUUCUUCGUACUGCAUAAGGCGACUCUUGAGAUAUCUGUCAAGCAGCAAACUACAUAGACAGGCACACAAAGAGGCUCUUUCCCAUCAUCCCACAAGGACAUGUUGAAAUUAUGCAUUGUACUGACUUUAUCCCAAGAACAUCUUUACUUUUGGAAUAGUAGAAUAGAAAGGUUCUUACAUUUCAAUUUCUCUAUAGAAGAAGAUGCUCUUCUCUUCUUUGAAACUAUUGGUUAGAAAAAAAAAAGAGAAACAACCCUCCCGCAACAAUACAAAUAUUAUCCCAUACUUUUACACAAUAACAUCCAUUACAUUUAAAGAAGAAAGCAACACAGACCUCUUUAGUUAGCCAGUUGUCCCCUGAAGAAAUCCUCAGCCUGUGAAUCAUAAAGCAAACGACAGGUCUCCCACAUCCCACAUAUUUCUAAACAUUUCUCUUUCCAAUCACAUCAGCCAAUUUCAUUCUUUAAUGGAUUCACUCACAAUUGGUAGGACUUUCUCCUAGACCAAAGGUUGUUUUCCAACUUCUUGAAGUACUCUGAAACUCAUCAAAAAUAAUUCUCACCUGAAAACCGAUGAAGAUCCGAUAGUACGUUGUCCAAUUCUUCGUACUGCAUAUGGCGACUCUUGAGAUAUCUGUCAAGCAGCAAACUACAUAGACAGGCACACAAAGAGGCUCUUUCCCAUCAUCCCACAAGGACAUGUUGAAAUUAUGCAUUGUACUGACUUUAUCCCAAGAACAUCUUUACUUUUGGAAUAGUAGAAUAGAAAGGUUCUUACGAUUUCAAUUUCUCUAUAGAAGAAGAUGCUCUUCUCUUCUUUGAAACUAUUGGUUAGAAAAAAAAAAGAGAAACAACCCUACCGCAACAAUACAAAUAUUAUCCCAUACUUUUACACAAUAACAUCCAUUACAUUUAAAGAAGAAAGCAACACAGAACUCUUUAGUUAGCCAGUUGUCCCCUGAAGAAAUCCUCAGCCUGUGAAUCAUAAAGCAAACGACAGGUCUCCCACAUCCCACAUAUUUCUCUUUCCAAUCACAUCAGCCAAUUUCAUUCUUUAAUGGAUUCACUCACAAUUGGUAGGACUUCCUCCUAGACCAAAGGUUUUUUUCCAACUUCUUAAGAGACUCUGAAACUCAUCAAAAACCAUUCUCACCUGAAAACCGAUGAAGAUCCAAUAAUAGGUUGUCCAAUUCUUCGUACUGCAUAUGGCGACUCUUGAGAUAUCUGUCAACCAGCAAACUACAUAGACAGGCACACAAAGAGGCUCUUUCCCAUCAUCCCACAAGGACAUGUUGAAAUUAUGCAUUGUACUGACUUUAUCCCAAGAACAUCUUUACUUUUGGAAAAGUAGAAUAGAAAGGUUCUUACAUUUCAAUUUCUCUAUAGAAGAAGAUGCUCUUCUCUCUUCUUUGAAACUAUUGGUUAGAAAAAAAAAAGAGAAACAACCCUCCCGCAACAACAAUACAAAUAUUAUCCCAUACUUUUACACAAUAAAAUCCAUUACAUUUAAAGAAGAAAGCAACACAGACCUCUUUAGUUAGCCAGUUGUCCCCUGAAGAAAUCCUCAGCCUGUGAAUCAUAAAGCAAACGACAGGUCUCCCACAUCCCACAUAUUUCUAAACAUUUCUCUUUCCAAUCACAUCAGCCAAUUUCAUUCUUUAAUGGAUUCACUCACAAUUGGUAGGACUUCCUCCUAGACCAAAGGUUGUUUUCCAACUUCUUGAAGUACUCUGAAACUCAUCAAAAACAAUUCUCACCUGAAAACCGAUGAAGAUCCAAUAAUAGGUUGUCCAAUUCUUCGUACUGCAUAUGGCGACUCUUGAGAUAUCUGUCAACCAGCAAACUACAUAGACAGGCACACAAAGAGGCUCUUUCCCAUCAUCCCACAAGGACAUGUUGAAAUUAUGCAUUGUACUGACUUUAUCCCAAGAACAUCUUUACUUUUGGAAUAGUAGAAUAGAAAGGUUCUUACAUUUCAAUUUCUCUAUAGAAGAAGAUGCUCUUCUCUCUUCUUUGAAACUAUUGGUUAGAAAAAAAAAGAGAAACAACCCUCCCGCAACAACAAUACAAAUAUUAUCCAAUACUUUACACAAUAAAAUCCAUUACAUUUAAAGAAGAAAGCAACACAGACCUCUAUAGCUAGCCAGUUGUCCCCUGAAGAAAUCCUCAGCCUGUGAAUCAUAAAGCAAACGACAGGUCUCCCACAUCCCACCUAUUUCCAAACAUUUCGCUUUCCAAUCACAUCAGCCAAUUUCAUUCUUUAAUGGAUUCACUCACAAUUGGUAGGACUUCCUCCUAGACCAAAGGUUGUUUUCCAACUUCUUCAAGUACUCUGAAACUCAUCAAAAACAAUUCUCACCUGAAAACCGAUGAAGAUCCAAUAGUACGUUGUCCAAUUCUUCGUACUGCAUAAGGCGACUCUUGAGAUAUCUGUCAAGCAGCAAACUACAUAGACAGGCACACAAAGAGGCUCUUUCCCAUCAUCCCACAAGGACAUGUUGAAAUUAUGCAUUGUACUGACUUUAUCCCAAGAACAUCUUUACUUUUGGAAAAGUAGAAUAGAAAGGUUCUUACAUUUCAAUUUCUCUAUAGAAGAAGAUGCUCUUCUCUUCUUUGAAACUAUUGGUUAGAAAAAAAAAAGAGAAACAACCCUCCCGCAACAAUACAAAUAUUAUCCCAUACUUUUACACAAUAAAAUCCAUUACAUUUAAAGAAGAAAGCAACAUAGACCUCUUUAGUUAGCCAGUUGUCCCCUGAAGAAAUCCUCAGCCUGUGAAUCAUAAAGCAAACGACAGGUCUCCCACAUAUUUCUAAACAUUUCGCUUUCCAAUCACAUCAGCCAAUUUCAUUCUUUAAUGGAUUCACUCACAAUUGGUAGGACUUCCUCCUAGACCAAAGGUUGUUUUCCAACUUCUUGAAGUACUCUGAAACUCAUCAAAAACAAUUCUCACCUGAAAACCAAUGAAGAUCCGAUAAUACGUUGUCCAAUUCUUCGUACUGCAUAAGGCGACUCUUGAGAUAUCUGUCAAGCAGCAAACUACAUAGACAGGCACACAAAGAGGCUCUUUCCCAUCAUCCCACAAGGACAUGUUGAAAUUAUGCAUUGUACUGAUUUUAUCCCAAGAACAUCUUUCCUUUUGGAAUAGUAGAAUAGAAAGGUUCUUACAUUUCAAUUUCUCUAUAGAAGAAGAUGCUCUUCUCUCUUCUUUGAAACUAUUGGUUAGAAGAAAAAAAAGAGAAACAACCCUCCCGCAACAACAAUACAAAUAUUAUCCCAUACUUUUACACAAUAACAUCCAUUACAUUUAAAGAAGAAAGCAACACAGACCUCUUUAGUUAGCCAGUUGUCCCCUGAAGAAAUCCUCAGCCUGUGAAUCAUAAAGCAAACGACAGGUCUCCCCACAUAUUUAAACAUUUCGCUUCCAAUCAUUAUCAGCCAAUUCUCAUUCUUUAAUGGAUUCACUCAAUAAUUGGUGGUGGACUUCCUAGACCAAAGGUUGUUUUCCAACUUCUUGAGAGACUCUGAAACUCAUCAAAAACAAUUCACACCUGAAAACCGAUGAAGAUCCAAUAAUAAGUUGUCCAAUUCUUCGUACUGCAUAAGGCGACUCUUGAGAUAUCUGUCAAGCAGCAAACUACAUAGACAGGCACACAAAGAGGCUCUUUCCCAUCAUCCCACAAGGACAUGUUGAAAUUAUGCAUUGUACUGAUUUUAUCCCAAGAACAUCUUUACUUUUGGAAUAAUAGAAUAGAAAGGUUCUUACAUUUCAAUUUCUCUAUAGAAGAAGAUGCUCUUCUCUUCUUUGAAACUAUUGGUUAGAAAAAAAAAGAGAAACAACCCUCCCGCAACAACAAUACAAAUAUUAUCCCUACUUCCUUUACACAAUAACAUCCACAUAUUUAAAGAAGAAAGCAACACAGACCUCUUUUAGUUAGCCAGUUGUCCCCUCAAAGAAACCAGCCUGUGAAUCAUAAAAGCAAACACAGGCCUCCCCACAUCCCACAUAUUUCUAAACAUUUCUUCUUCCAACGCUAUCAGCCAAUUUCAUUCUUUUAAUGUAUCUACCCACAAUUGUACUUCCUCCUAGAGCAAGGUUAAAGUUUCAACCUCUUCAAGUACCUUGAAACUCAUCAAAACAAUUCUCACCUGAAAACCGAUGAAGAUCCAAUAAUACAUUGUCCAAUUCUUCGUACUGCAUAAGGCGACUCUUGAGAUAUCUGUCAAGCAGCAGACUACAUAGACAGGCACACAAAGAGGCUCUUUCCCAUCAUCCCACAAGGACAUGUUGAAAUUAUGCAUUGUACUGACUUUAUCCCAAGAACAUCUUUACUUUUGGAAUAGUAGAAUAGAAAGGUUCUUACGUUUCAAUUUCUCUAUAGAAGAAGAUGCUCUUCUCUUCUUUGAAACUAUUGGCUAGAAAAAAAAAAGAGAAACAACCCUCCCGCAACAAUACAAAUAUUAUCCCAUACUUUUACACAAUAACAUCCAUUACAUUUAAAGAAGAAAGCAACACAGACCUCUUUAGUUAGCCAGUUGUCCCCUGAAGAAAUCCUCAGCCUGUGAAUCAUAAAGCAAACGACAGGUCUCCCACAUCCCACAUAUUUCUAAACAUUUCGCUUUCCAAUCACAUGAGCCAAUUUCAUUCUUUAAUGGAUUCCUCACAAUUGAGAGUGGACUUCCCUCCUAGACCAAAGGGAUUUUCAUGUUCAACUUCUUGAGGAGACUCUGAAACUCCUUCAAAACAAUUCUCACCUGAAAACGAUGAAGAUCCAAUAUUAGAUUUGUCCGAUUCUUCCAUUACUGCGCCACAAAGGCUCUUACAGAGAUAUCUGUCAAGCAGCAAACUACAUAGACAGGCACACAAGGAAGCUCUUUCCAUCAUCCCACAAAAGGACAUGUAGAAGUAUGCAUUGUACUGACUUUAUCCCAAAAGGCAAUACUUUUGGAAAAGUAGAAUAGAAAGGUUCUUACAUUUCAAUUUCUCUAUAGAAGAAGAUGCUCUUCUCUCUUCUUUGAAACUAUUGGUUAAAAAAAAAAAGAGAAACAACCCUCCCGCAACAACAAUACAAAUAUUAUCCAAUACUUUUACACAAUAAAAUCCAUUACAUUUAAAGAAGAAAGCAACACAGACCUCUAUAGCUAGCCAGUUGUCCCCUGAAGAAAUCCUCAGCCUGUGAAUCAUAAAGCAAAUGACAGGUCCCCCACAUAUUUCUAAACAUUUCUCUUUCCAAUCACAUCAGCCAAUUUCAUUCUUUAAUGGAUUCACUCACAAUUGGUAGGACUUCCUCCUAGACCAAAGGUUGUUUUCCAACUUCUUCAAGUACUCUGAAACUCAUCAAAAACAAUUCGCACCUGAAAACCGAUGAAGAUCCAAUAGUACGUUGUCCAAUUCUUCGUACUGCAUAUGGCGACUCUUGAGAUAUCUGUCAAGCAGCAAACUACAUAGACAGGCACACAAAGAGGCUCUUUCCCAUCAUCCCACAAGGACAUGUUGAAAUUAUGCAUUGUACUGACUUUAUCCCAAGAACAUCUUUACUUUUGGAAUAGUAGAAUAGAAAGGUUCUUACAUUUCAAUUUCUCAAUAUUAGAAGAUGCUCUUCUCUCUUCUUUGAAACUAUUGGUUAGAAAAAAAAAAGAGAAACAACCCUCCCGCAACAACAAUACAAAUAUUAUCCCAUACUUUUACACAAUAAAAUCCAUUACAUUUAAAGAAGAAAGCAACACAGACCUCUUUAGCUAGCCAGUUGUCCCCUGAAGAAAUCCUCAGCCUGUGAAUCAUAAAGCAAACGACAGGUCUCCCACAUCCCACAUAUUUCUAAACAUUUCGCUUUCCAAUCACAUGAGCCAAUUUCAUUCUUUAAUGGAUUCACUCACCAUUGGUAGGACUUUCUCCUAGACCAAAGGUUGUUUUCCAACUUCUUGAGAGACUCUGAAACUCAUCAAAAACAAUUCUCACCUGAAAACCGAUGAAGAUCCAAUAAUACGUUGUCCAAUUCUUCGUACUGCAUAAGGCGAUUCUUGAGAUAUCUGUCAAGCAGCAAACUACAUAGACAGGCACACAAAGAGGCUCUUUCCCAUCAUCCCACAAGGACACGUUGAAAUUAGGCAUUGUACUGACUUUAUCCCAAGAACAUCUUUACUUUUGGAAUAGUAGAAUAGAAAGGUUCUUACAUUUCAAUUUCUCUAUAGAAGAAGAUGCUCUUCUCUCUUCUUUGAAACUAUUGGUUAGAAGAAAAAAAAAGAGAAACAACCCUCCCGCAACAACAAUACAAAUAUUAUCCCAUACUUUCACACAAUAAAAUCCAUUACAUUUAAAGAAGAAAGCAACACAGACCUCUUUAGCUAGCCAGUUGUCCCAUGAAGAAAUCCUCAGCCUGUGAAUCAUAAAGCAAACGACAGGUCUCCCACAUCCCACAUAUUUCCAAACAUUUCGCUUUCCAAUCACAUCAGCCAAAUUCUUUCAUUAAUG